UACGAAGGGGGCUAGCGUUGCUCGGAAUUACUGGGCGUAAAGGGCGCGUAGGCGGACAUUUAAGUCAGGGGUGAAAUCCCAGAGCUCAACUCUGGAACUGCCUUUGAUACUGGAUGUCUUGAGUGUGAGAGAGGUAUGUGGAACUCCGAGUGUAGAGGUGAAAUUCGUAGAUAUUCGGAAGAACACCAGUGGCGAAGGCGACAUACUGGCUCAUUACUGACGCUGAGGCUCGAAAGCGUGGGGAGCAAACAGG
rnacentral:rRNA from 1 species